UUGAGAUCUGUAAGGGGGCACCGGUGUCGUGGUGUGGGAGGUGUGAAGCUCGACAAGUCGCGGAAGAGGUAUGUAGAGUGUUAGAUUCUAAUUUGGGUAAAGGGUAUGGGUGAUGGGUACGGUAGAGGAUGAAGGGGAGAAGAUCGGAAAUAGAUCCGAUCUUGAUAAACCUACUCAAGGAUGAUAAUGUAGUAUAAGGACAGCGGGGUACUCAAAUCACUUGAGUCACUCGAUCCAAGGGUUUACCAACUUUUGGUUAUGUUGACCACUUGAUCUUGGUUGGGAUGGUUACCUUAAGUGGUGGUUGAUUAUAUUGUAAUUACUACCCAUUUUAAUUGCUGCUUAGAGUUAUGGUAGAAUGUAACUCUUGCAGUCUAUUUUAUUGGGGAUCUAUUGUGUGAUUGGUUGAUUUAAGUGAUGAAGGAUUGCUACCUCUACGCUGUGAAUGUCUAUAUUGUAUUUACUGCCAUUUUAAAAUUGUUGUUUAGUGUUUUACCAUCUGUAAUUCUUGCUGUCCAUUUUAUCGGGGGUCUUUUCUCUUAUCGUUUUGCUCUAGGUGAGGAAAAGUACUACCGGAAGACAUGUUAGAUUAGCAUAAGAGCUAAUCUAUUGUUUUUCUUUGCUGUCCAUUGUGAUUUCAGUAGUAUCCUCUUGCUGUCCAUUUUAUUUGAGGUCUUUUCUCUUAUCGUUUUGCUCUAGGUGAGGAAAAGUAUUACCGGAAGACAUGUUAGAUUAGCAUAAGAGCUAAUCUAUUGUUUGUUUUUGCUGUCUAUUGUGAUUUCAGUAGUAUCUUCUUGCUGUCCAUUUUAUUAGGGGUCUAUUCUCUUAUUGUUUUGCUCUAGGUGAUGAAAAACACUACCGGAAUGCAUGUUAGAUUAACAUAGGAGCUAAUCUAUUUCUUUUUAUUGUUGUAUAUAGUGAUUUCCGUAGUAUCUUGUUGCUGUCCAAUCUUAUUGGGGUGCCUAUUAAAUUAUUGUUUGUUUUAAGUGAUGAAAACACUAAGGGAAUGCAUGUUGGGAUGGCAUAGGAGCUAAUUAUAGUGUGGGGUGGUUCCAUUAUAUAUUUUAUUGCGAAAUUUAGAUGAAAAGGAUGAUAUGGGGGUGCAUAGUUGGUUGACACAUAUGUUAAAUAUCAUGUGGGCUGUUUUGGGGUAAUUAUGCUACUAUUUUUAGAUGAUGCCAAAUUGUAGCAAACAGGAUAUUUAUCAUGUGAGUGGGUUGUAGUAUUUAUGUUGCUGUUUUUAAUGACGAAAAUGCUAUCGGGUACAUGUUUGAAUUGCAUAUAAGAUAAUUAUCACGUGGGCUGGUUUGAUUAAUUAUUUUUGUUUUAAAUAAUGAACAUGUUAUCGGGGCCAUGUGUUAGUAAUUAAGAUAAUUAUCUUGUGGGUUGUUUCGAAUACUUGUUGUUGUUUUAAAAUGAUAAUAGUAUUAGAGGGGAAAUAUACAUGAAUGGACAAGAGAAUAAGAAUAGCAUUGUAUGUAUGAAUGAGAUUCAUCAAUGAAUGAAAGUAUGAAUGAAAUAUGACAGGGGUGUUAUGACGCCUAACGAAUGACGAGUGAUGAUCCAUUAGGGGCAUGAAUGAUGAUUGAUUGGUAUCAUCAGAUUGAAUAUUAUAUAUACAUGUAUUAUGUUAAUUGCUAUUGUUAUUACUUGUUGGAACCUAUACUUUACAUGCUGAGUAAUGUAGUCACUCACGGAUACAUGACCUGUGCAGGGAAUGGAGGCAACUUUGCCUAACUGGAGGGGUAGGAGACAAAGGACUCGUCGAGGUGUCGGCGUAGGGGGUGACGCGAAGUAGUCGUGUCAUUGACUAUUUUUUGUUGUAAUAAGGAUCGUAUUAGGUCCCCGAACACAAAGUAGUUGUAGUAUUGUAUUAGUUGUAGAUUCUAUUUUGUCAUCAUGUGAACUUUCCUUCGAGAGGAAUCUAUGUUAAUCGUUUGAUGAAAAUUAAAACCAAUGUGCAGAGCAGGGUUUUACAUCA
rnacentral:lncRNA from 1 species